rnacentral:lncRNA from 1 species
CAGAAUCCCAAUACUGUGCGUUAACAGUAUUAACAGUCGGAGUGCUUCAAAUUUUGUAGCAGUAUGUUAUCAAGGCGUGUUGAUAGCACUCAAUAAUUUAUAUUUCUGCUGUCGGAUCACGUUGAUCAUUCGGUCGAAUAACGUAGGUUGGGCGCAAAGCAUAGGACCUUUGCAUCUGAGAAGUUAUUAGAUAAAUGCCCAAUGAUUAGCGUGCGGGGAUCACCUUGUCAUAUAUUCUAAUUCUGAGCUUUCAUGGGACCCUCACACCCCACAACAGGUCCUACAGCGCAGCUGUCUCAGCUACACAAUCCCAUACAGG